rnacentral:lncRNA from 1 species
UUUGGAUUUGUACAAACGCACUGGGAAAGUAGUAACUGGUUAUGUUUGGGACAAAGGAGCUUGGGGCUUAGCGGGAAGAGGGCAUCUUCUGUUUUUCAUCUUAUACCCUCCUUACCAUUUGAAUUUUUAACCUUGAAUAAGAAUUACAUUUGGAAAAUAGUUUUAAAACCAAACUGCAGGUUUGAGCUCACAGGUAUUUCAAAGCAUGCUAACCAUUUCCUGUGCACCCUCUUCCUUGUAAGAAAGGACAUGAAAGGCUGCCUACCCCUGGGGUCUGGACACCUUGGUCCUUUGUCUCAAUUUAUAUCUGAGAGGAUUUCAAAGAAAAGAAAAAACAGCCUCCUGACCACUCUUUCAGAUGGCACUGUUGAUGGCUGAUGGUUUCUAAAUGAGCAAGACAGGCUAUUUUUUAUCAUUACUGAAAAAAGGAAAAUUUGCUUCCUUAGAAGUGUUUUAAUGGAAAGGUAAUUUAAACUCAUUAUCUUUAGAAACUAGAGAAACUGAAUCAUCCAUAUCUACUCUACUUACCAUUUUAGUAUUUUGUGUUUUCCUUUUUUGCAGUGCAUCGCCCAUAUUUCCAAUGGCUGUAAUCCCAGCUGUAUAUGUCCUGGCAUAUACAAUGCCAGUAUUGUUCCUGGACCAGGAAACAUUCAUCUGGAGGAAUUAUAUACCUGGUUCCUUAGGAAGAACACAAAGUCUGGAAUUAGGAAGCUACGAAACUAAUGAACAUGCUGCUGGGAGAAAGAGCUCUUCCACCCUCCUUUCCUCUGGAAAGAGAAUCUCUGACUGCACAAGGACCUCCUCCGUGAAAUCAUCGCAGGUGCCAUUCUACAAUGACUCUGCCUUUUUAUCUCCUCCAUCUGCCACAGGGCUGCACUUCUUGGUGGUUUCCUUCAAUACCACUUUUGUGGCCACCCACCAGAUCUGAAACUGUCCUGCCCCAGCAGAAGAGCUGCCCAAUCCCUCUCCAGGCUCUGGGUCCCCUUUCUUCCUCCUCUUGGAUGUGGGGAGUCCUGGGGGGGAACACUGUGGUUUAGUAUCCCGAAAUAUCCUCACACACCAGGUCACGCCUUGUUGUCUAUCCCCUUCUGCUUGGAUGCCAGAUACAUAGAGGACCUGAGGAAAGCCACACAGCUAUUUAUCUCCCCAAGGACCAGGACCAGAGGCAGAGUAGGCAGGGAAGGGAUGGAAGAGGGAGUGGCAUUUAGGUUUUUGCAGGAGCUCUGUCUUGUGGUGAGAGCAGAACAUCCAGCUUUGCAGGAACCUUGAUCCAGGAGCAUCUCCCCUGGAGUUGUGGUUAGAGUAGCCUCGGGGCAGAGGACUUAGAAUGUUUUGGAAUUCUGGAGAAAGGACCUUGCUGGCCCUCCAAGCCUUUCAUUGCCCCAAAGCCUCUAUGAGAAAUGCUCCCCGUGUGUCUGAAUCCCUGUAGACAGGCGACCAUCUCUCUUUAACUGACAGUAGUUACCGAGCUGGGCCCCAAUCCCUCAGACAGGUUUGAGAACUUUCAGCCUUCCUCUUGCACCUUUUCCAGAUCUAGGUAAGCUUCCAGCAGAAGACACCUCACCAGCAGCCAGGUUCUCACUCCCAACAAAUAAAACCAUACAGCUCUCUCCAAAACAGACACCCUAGGGUGAGGCUUGGACAGC